UUGGAGGGCAAGUCUGGUGCCAGCAGCCGCGGUAAUUCCAGCUCCGAUAGCGUAUAUUAAAGUUGUUGCAGUUAAAAAGCUCGUAGUUGAACUUCGGGGUCUACCCAUUGGUCAGGCUUAAUUGUCUGCACUGGUGAGAUGGAUCUCUACCUUCUGAGGAACUUUCAUGCCAUUUAUUUGGUGUGGUUGGAAAUCAGGACUGUUACUUUGAAAAAAUUAGAGUGUUUAAAGCAGACUAUCGUCUGAAUACAUUAGCAUGGAAUAAUGAAAUAGGACGGACUGAUUCUAUUUCGUUGGUUUCUAGGAUCACCGUAAUGAUUAAUAGGGAUAGUUGGGGGCAUUAGUAUUCAAUUGUCAGAGGUGAAAUUCUUGGAUUUAUUGAAGACUAACUACUGCGAAAGCAUUUGCCAAGGAUGUUUUCAUUAAUCAAGAACGAAAGUUAGGGGAUCGAAGACGAUCAGAUACCGUCGUAGUCUUAACCAUAAACUAUGCCGACUAGGGAUCGGACGAAGUUAAUUUUAUAAUGACGCGUUCGGCGCCUUACGAGAAAC
rnacentral:rRNA from 1 species